rnacentral:lncRNA from 1 species
UAAAUUCAGGUGAUGGACAACCCAUCACUACAAAUCCAAGGUGAAAAAUCACACACAUGCACAAAAUAGGGUUCUUGCACCACCCUUUCACUACAAUUCAAGCUGAGUGAACUGCUGGUUUCCCUUUCACCACUUUACAGAUCACUGGGGUUGGAACUUUGAACAGCCAACUCAGUUCAGAGAAAGAGCAAGCACUGGUGUAUUGAACCAAUUGGGAGAUGAGCUGAACUUCUGGGCUACCUUCUUC